GUGGGGAAUCUUGCGCAAUGGGCGAAAGCCUGACGCAGCCAUGCCGCGUGAGUGAUGAAGGCCUUAGGGUUGUAAAACUCUUUCAGCGGGGACGAUAAUGACGGUACCCGCAGAAGAAGCCCCGGCUAACUUCGUGCCAGCAGCCGCGGUAAUACGAAGGGGGCUAGCGUUGCUCGGAAUUACUGGGCGUAAAGGGCGCGUAGGCGGACAGUUUAGUCAGAGGUGAAAUCCCGGGGCUUAACCUCGGAACUGCCUUUGAUACUGGCUGUCUUGAGUACGGGAGAGGUGUGUGGAACUCCGAGUGUAGAGGUGAAAUUCGUAGAUAUUCGGAAGAACACCAGUGGCGAAGGCGACACACUGGCCCGUUACUGACGCUGAGGCGCGAAAGCGUGGGGAGCAAACAGG
rnacentral:rRNA from 1 species